rnacentral:lncRNA from 1 species
CUGCAAAGCCAAAGGAGAUGAUGGGCUGGGAAGGAAGAGGCUAUAAUUCAAACAAAUCUCUGCCAUAAUAGCUAUGGGAAUACUAAACAUUACUGGCCAAGUAAAUUGCUUUCUGUAUAAGCGUUCUCUUUUUUUUUUUUGAAGUUUGCCCCAGUGUGAAAGUCUCUCUAAGAUUGGUAACUAAUGGGUAAUACACAACAUUCCAAGAUAGAUUCUGGUAUCUUGAGCCAACAUAUCAGGAGAAUGGUACAGAAAAACUGAACAUUACCAGCCCCUCUACCUUAGCUAACUGCAAAAUGAACAACUUCCAAGGACUUGCUGCUACUCUCCCACAAAAUGAAAAGUCUAUGUAUCAAGAUGUAGAAUAGUACAGCUAAGCACAAGGCUCCUCCCCAGUCAAAGAGGAGCAGAGAGUGAAGAUCACUAUCAGUAAAAGCGCUGGCCUAGAGUUCCAUCACUAAACUGAUAUGUAACCCAAGGCAGGUCUUCUUUCUUUGAGUUUCAGUCUCAUCAUCUUUGAAGUGAGAAUAACAGAGCAUAAAAGUCAAACUUGAACCAACA